UUUUAGUUUUAAAUUGAUUUGCAAUCAAUUAAUAUGUAAGGCAUACUAGAAU
rnacentral:tRNA from 1 species